CCUACGGGAGGCAGCAGUAGGGAAUCUUCCACAAUGGACGAAAGUCUGAUGGAGCAACGCCGCGUGAGUGAUGAAGGUUUUCGGAUCGUAAAACUCUGUUGUAAGGGAAGAACAAGUACGAGAGGGAAUGCUCGUACCUUGACGGUACCUUGCGAGAAAGCCACGGCUAACUACGUGCCAGCAGCCGCGGUAAUACGUAGGUGGCAAGCGUUGUCCGGAAUUAUUGGGCGUAAAGCGCGCGCAGGCGGCCUUUUAAGUCUGAUGUGAAAGCCCCCGGCUCAACCGGGGAGGGUCAUUGGAAACUGGAAGGCUUGAGUACAGAAGAGAAGAGUGGAAUUCCAUGUGUAGCGGUGAAAUGCGUAGAGAUGUGGAGGAACACCAGUGGCGAAGGCGACUCUUUGGUCUGUAACUGACGCUGAGGCGCGAAAGCGUGGGGAGCAAACAGGAUUAGAUACCCUGGUAGUCCACGCCGUAAAUGAUGAGUGCUAGGUGGUUGGGGGUUUCCGGUCCCGUCCNGUGCUGAGACUAACGCGAUUAAGACGACUCCGCCGUCGGGGUAGGGUACGGGUCCGGCCGAGGCGUUGUAAACGUUAAACGUUAAGUAAGUUAGUUACGGCGUGAGGACGUUCGCCGACGGACGACCGACGAGGGGAGGUUAGG
rnacentral:rRNA from 1 species